rnacentral:rRNA from 1 species
CCCUUAGAUGUUCUGGGCCGCACGCGCGCUACACUGACGAAUGCAACGAGCUUAUAACCUUGGCCGAAAGGUCUGGGUAAUCUCCAAAUUUCGUCGUGAUGGGGAUAGAUUAUUGCAAUUAUUAAUCUUCAACGAGGAAUGCCUAGUAAGCGCAAGUCAUCAGCUUGCGUUGAUUACGUCCCUGCCCUUUGUACACACCGCCCAUCGCUCCUACCGAUUGAAUGGUCCGGUGAAGCGUUCGGACCGUGGCCUUUGGACGGUUCGCCGUCUGUUGGCUGCGGGAAGUUCGUUAAACCUUAUCAUUUAGAGGAAGGAGAANUCGUANCA